rnacentral:rRNA from 1 species
UGGGAAUUUUGGACAAUGGGCGAAAGCCUGAUCCAGCAAUGCCGCGUGUGUGAAGAAGGCCUUCGGGUUGUAAAGCACUUUUGUCCGGAAAGAAAUCCUUGGCUCUAAUACAGUCGGGGGAUGACGGUACCGGAAGAAUAAGCACCGGCUAACUACGUGCCAGCAGCCGCGGUAAUACGUAGGGUGCAAGCGUUAAUCGGAAUUACUGGGCGUAAAGCGUGCGCAGGCGGUUUGCUAAGACCGAUGUGAAAUCCCCGGGCUCAACCUGGGAACUGCAUUGGUGACUGGCAGGCUAGAGUAUGGCAGAGGGGGGUAGAAUUCCACGUGUAGCAGUGAAAUGCGUAGAGAUGUGGAGGAAUACCGAUGGCGAAGGCAGCCCCCUGGGCCAAUACUGACGCUCAUGCACGAAAGCGUGGGGAGCAAACAGGAUUAGAUACCCUGGUAGUCCACGCCCUAAACGAUGUCAACUAGUUGUUGGGGAUUCAUUUCCUUAGUAACGUAGCUAACGCGUGAAGUUGACCGCCUGGGGAGUACGGUCGCAAGAUUAAAACUCAAAUGAAUUGAC